UACGUAGGGUGCAAGCGUUGUCCGGAAUUAUUGGGCGUAAAGAGCUCGUAGGCGGUCUGUCGCGUCGGCUGUGAAAACCCGGAGCUCAACUCCGGGCCUGCAGUCGAUACGGGCAAACUGGAGUGUUGCAGGGGAGACUGGAAUUCCUGGUGUAGCGGUGAAAUGCGCAGAUAUCAGGAGGAACACCAAUAGCGAAGGCAGCUCGCUGGGACGAUACUGACGCUGAGGCGCGAAAGCGUGGGGAGCGAACAGG
rnacentral:rRNA from 1 species